AAGUCGUAACAAGGUUUCCGUAGGUGAACCUGCGGAAGGAUCAUUAACACGUAUCCACGUAUCAACCAACCGAGAAUCGUUUUCAACUCUCCCUCCAAAGGAUCAUGAGUGGGCCAGCCAUCGAGAUAGAGUGGGCUCUCACGAGCGCUCGGGGCAUCGCUUAAAGACUGCGUUUAAACAACAAGCCAGUACCACUGAAUUUCAUAGUGAGGCAACCUUCUAUUCUUCUAAGAAUCCAUCUCUCUACCGAUGAAGUUUAGAUCUUAACCAAACACGAUACACACCACUUUUUUGCUAGUUGACUUUUCUUUGUGCGGUCUGUGCGUAAGCAACGGCUCACACGUUUGAUUAUUUGAACGUUAAAAAUACAACUCUUAGCAAUGGAUAUCUUGGUUCUC
rnacentral:misc_RNA from 1 species